GACGAACGCUGGCGGCGUGCUUAACACAUGCAAGUCGAACGGAAAGGCCCUGCUUGCAGGGUACUCGAGUGGCGAACGGGUGAGUAACACGUGGGUGAUCUGCCCUGCACUUCGGGAUAAGCCUGGGAAACUGGGUCUAAUACCGGAUAGGAGCCAUUUUUAGUGUGAUGGUUGGAAAGUUUUUUCGGUGUAGGAUGAGCUCGCGGCCUAUCAGCUUGUUGGUGGGGUAAUGGCCUACCAAGGCGGCGACGGGUAGCCGGCCUGAGAGGGUGGACGGCCACAUUGGGACUGAGAUACGGCCCAGACUCCUACGGGAGGCAGCAGUGGGGAAGAUUGCACAAUGGGCGCAAGCCUGAUGCAGCGACGCCGCGUGGGGGAUGACGGCCUUCGGGUUGGAAACUCCGUUCGCUAGGGACGAAGCUUUUUGUGACGGUACCUAGAUAAGAAGCACCGGCUAACUACGUG
rnacentral:rRNA from 1 species